UACGUAGGUGGCAAGCGUUGUCCGGAAUUAUUGGGCGUAAAGCGCGCGCAGGCGGCCUCUUAAGUCUGAUGUGAAAGCCCCCGGCUCAACCGGGGAGGGCCAUUGGAAACUGGGAGGCUUGAGUAUAGGAGAGAAGAGUGGAAUUCCACGUGUAGCGGUGAAAUGACGUAGAGAUGUGGAGGAACACCAGUGGCGAAGGCGACUCUUUGGCCUAUAAACUGACGCUGAGGCGCGAAAGCGUGGGAGCAACAGG
rnacentral:rRNA from 1 species